GGUGGUUCAGUGGUAGAGCACUUGCCUUGCAUGCAAGAAGCCCUGGGUUUGAUUCCUCAGCACCA
rnacentral:tRNA from 1 species